ACUCCUACGGGAGGCAGCAGUGGGAAUAUUGCGCAAUGGGGGAAACCCUGACGCAGCAACGCCGCGUGAAUGAAGAAGGCCUUAGGGUUGUAAAGUUCUGUUUUCUGGGACGAUAAUGACGGUACCAGAGGAGGAAGCCACGGCUAACUACGUGCCAGCAGCCGCGGUAAUACGUAGGUGGCAAGCGUUGUCCGGAUUUACUGGGCGUAAAGGAUGCGUAGGCGGAUGUUUAAGUGAGAUGUGAAAUACCCGAGCUCAACUUGGGUGCUGCAUUUCAAACUGGAUAUCUAGAGUGCAGGAGAGGAAAGCGGAAUUCCUAGUGUAGCGGUGAAAUGCGUAGAGAUUAGGAAGAACACAAGUGGCGAAGGCUGCUUUCUGGACUGUAACUGACGCUGAGGCAUGAAAGCGUGGGGAGCAAACAGGAUUAGAUACCCUGGUAGGCUCUGC
rnacentral:rRNA from 1 species